rnacentral:rRNA from 1 species
AUUGAACGCUGGCGGCAGGCCUAACACAUGCAAGUCGAGCGGUAGAGAGGAGCUUGCUUCUCUUGAGAGCGGCGGACGGGUGAGUAAUGCCUAGGAAUCUGCCUGAUAGUGGGGGAUAACGUCCGGAAACGGACGCUAAUACCGCAUACGUCCUACGUGAGAAAGUGGGGGCUCUUCGGACCUCACGCUAUCAGCUGAGCCUAGGUCGGAUUAGCUAGUUGGUGGGGUAAAGGCUCAACAAGGCGACGAGCCGUAACUGGUCUGAGAGGAUGAUCAGUCACACUGGAACUGAGACACGGUCCAGACUCCUACGGGAGGCAGCAGUGGGGAAUAUUGGACAAUGGGCGAAAGCCUGAUCCAGCCAUGCCGCGUGUGUGAAGAAGGUCUUCGGAUUGUAAAGCACUUUAAGUUGGGAGGAAGGGUCGUUACCUAAUACGUGACGAUUUUGACGUUACCGACAGAAUAAGCACCGGCUAACUCUGUGCCAGCAGCCGCGGUAA